UAUCCGGGUAUUGGAAGACAAGGGUA
rnacentral:piRNA from 1 species